UAUUGCUAUUCUUUUCCCUCUACAUCACCGUAAAAGUCCUGUUGCUUACCAAUACUCCAAUUCCGAUGUUCCACUCAAUCGACGUGAAAUACGAGCUCGAGAUUCAUAAGAUGAGGACCCUACAUGUAUUCUGGGAACCCAACACACUUUAGACCGUUUUUUUAGAACUGUAGUAAAUGACUGUACACCCACAUUUUAAACUCUUCCCUUGUUGAUUUGCCUAUUGGAAAAAUUCCGUUCAAAGAAGCAUCUUCUGAUAAGAAAAUUCAUCAAUUUAUUUUAGUCUUGAAGAUGGUUUCUGGACGAGUUAUUGAGACAUGGGUCAAAGACAUCAGGUUCCCGACGUCGUUGAACGCCGAUGGAAGUGAUGCUAUGCACACAGAUCCUGAUUACUCUUGCGCUUACGUAAUGAUAAAAUUGGAAAACGACCUCGAAGGUUAUGGACUAACGUUCACACUUGGAAAAGGAACGGAGAUAGUGGUGUCAGGAUGCCAAGCAAUUUUAAGAAUGCUAAUGAAGCAGAACGUUGAUGAAAUAUUUAAUAACUUCGCUGAAUUUUGGAGGAAAAUAACAAAUGAGUCACAGUUGCGUUGGGUGAGUCCGAAAGAGUUUGGUACUGCUGCAGAUGAAUCCAAAUUUGUAUUUCUGAAAGCAAGAAAAGAAACAAGGCAGAAUCAAAAUCGAAGAAAUUCGACUCGAAGAACAAAAUUCUGAAUUUUAUAUUUAUAAGAAAGGCUCCAACCAACGCCUUUCUUACAAGGAAAGGUCCCCAGGUGUACCUCACCGAUUUUCUUCAUUUUGACAUAUGUUAUUUUACAUGAAAAAUGAUUGACCACGUAUUUUUUUACGUGCUGAUUCGGUCAUAGAGGGCAGAAAAUGACGUUUGAAGUUCACGCAAACUACAAACUACGCAAACUACAAAUUUCUACAAAUUUCUACAAAAUUUCACUACCGCUUGAGGAAAUACUAUUCAAUUCGGAAAUUUCUCAUGGGGAUGAGGGGCAAAGUUCCGCUUCUCUUAGAAAUCUGCAAUACUCUUUGAUAAUUUAAAUAUAAUUACUACUGUAAAAUUCCGAAAUGUUGUGAUAUUUUCCCCUUUCAUUUAGAAAUUUACGAGCGUAUACAAUUGGAAAGUUACAUAAUAUGAGAAAAUUUACUACACUUUUACUGAGAAAUCAGACCGCAACUGUUCAGGAAAUUUCGAGUUUUUCCAUCAAA